GGGGGGGUAAUUCAUCAAAGAAAAAAUCGGAGUUAGCUGAUAGCAAAUGGGUGGAGAUGAGACAGAAGGGGAAGACCAGCGUCUGUGCUCCACUGGCAAGCAAUAUCAAAGAAAUCAAUGAAGAAGAAAUGGUUGACAGAGAAUCUAUCCCUACCGAGGCUCCCAUGGUUGCCUCCUGUUAUAUCAUGUUGGCAAUUAGUUUAUCUGUAGGCAUUGGCUAAUUGAGCCAUUGCUGGCUACAUUGGGAAAGGGAGACUCAGUAGUGGCACUAGAUUAGGAUCGAAACUGCAAUAUUAACCGUUCAUAUAUUGGGCUGAUAUGUCUGUUUUUGGGGUAUUCAGAGUUGUCUGCCUACCAAACCAUGUUUGCUACGCUGCUUGUC